rnacentral:rRNA from 1 species
UGGGGAAUUUUGGUCAAUGGGGGCGAACCCGAUCCAGCCAUGCCGCGUGCGGGAAGGAAGGCCUUCGGUUGUAAACGACUUUGUUCAGGGAAGCGGUACCUGAAGAAUAAGCACCGGCUAACUACGUGCCAGCAGCCGCGGUAAUACGUAGGGUGCAAGCGUUAAUCGGAAUUACUGGGCGUAAAGCGUGCGCAGGUGGUUGUGCAAGACAGAUGUGAAAUCCCCGGGGUUAACCUGGGAACUGCAUUUGUGACUGCACGGCUAGAGUACGGCAGAGGGGGAUGGAAUUCCGCGUGUAGCAGUGAAAUGCGUAGAUAUGCGGAGGAACACCGAUGGCGAAGGCAGUCCCCUGGGCCAGUACUGACGCUCAUGCACGAAAG